rnacentral:pre_miRNA from 1 species
UAUUUACUCCCUCCGUCCGGAAUUACUUGUCAUCAAAAUGGAUGAAAAUGAAUGUAUCUAGAACUAAAAUACAUCUAGAUACAUCCAUUUCAAUGACAAGUAUUUCCGGACGGAGGGAGUAUAUG